ACACUCGGUACCGUUGCAGUUCCGGCAGCUGGAGGACCGAGGGCUCGGUGCUGCCCCCUGCCGUCCGGCAGAGGGAUUUAACCCGAGGAACCGAGCGAGGUAUUCUGACUAUCUGUGCUACCCAUCAAUCCGUCCUACCUUGUGAUUCUCCUCAGGCUGACAUGGAGGUCCACAGCUGGUUCCGACGGUCCAGCCAGAACCUCCAAUCUGGUUAACUGGACCUUCCAUGAAGUACCAGAACACAGCAGAGCAGAACUGGAAGGAAAAUGCUUCCUGGCUUUCAGCAUUAAUAUUCAUCCCGUCCGAGUCAGAAGAACCAGAACCUCAUUUAGCUGACAUAAAGACUGAAUGUUGGACCAGAUCAUCGUGGUUCUGUUGGUUCUGUCUGAACUUUCUCUUUUAAACCCAACCUGAUUUUUAAGCAACAGAGAAAAGAACUAGAACGGUUCAGAGGAACCGCUCCGACCUCCUGCUGACCCAGAUCAUUUCCCUCAGAGCCGAUACCGAUUCAGAACAGUUCAAACCGUCCAACCGGUUCUGGAUCCGGUCCUGUUCUCCACUGCUGAGCGGGUCGGGUCUCGCUGAGGACUUGCAGUUUGAACCAAAAUCUGCCUGCGUGAAAUGCGACUUACAAAAACCCGUUUUCUGAUCAUCAUUUUCUCAUUAAAAUGAAUAAAAAAGAAAAUAUCUUCCAGAACUUGAUCUUCUUCCAACCGUCUCUCCUGGGAGUCGACCUGAAUUUAAGUUUAAAUAAAUAAAGAAUACUUUAUUAAUCCCAAAGGGAAAUUGAAUGUUGUAACUCAUUCAUUUAGAUUCUUCAGUUGUUGGAUCUCCUGUAGCAGUCUGUGCUGCAGUGACCCUGAAGAAGCCUCUGACUGAAGACGCUCUGAUGAAGAGGACGGUCAGGGUCGGCCAUAAUUUUCUUGAUUCUAUGAAGAAUCCCUCUUUGCAUUAUCAUCUCCGUCACAACCAGAACAGAACCGGAACAGAACCAGAACAAAAACAGCCUUCCUUAUCAGGCUGUUGAGCCUUAAACAAGCAGGAAAACAAGAUCGGUAGAAAUCCCGACUCUAUAAAAGUUCUGACCUGUUCUGAUCCGUUCUGACCCAUUCUGCCGGUUCCGACCCGAUGCGGUUCUGAACAGACGGACUCUGUUUCUUUAUUGAGUUUAUUGGUUCCAGCUUCGCAGACGUUUAAAUUCAAACAGUAAAAGUUUCCUUCACAACAUUGAACAUCACACAGACGACCUUUAACCUCUGCACUUCAUCAACUGGCGUAGGGGGCGCUGUUGAGGCCAAACAGGUCAACUUCUGAUCAGUAAACUUUGAUCGAUGAAAACUAAUCAAUAACAUCAAACACAGAGGU